GGCGGGGUAUAUCAACUGGCUAGAUAGUUCGGUUCAUACCCGAAAUGUUGGGGGUUCGAGUCCCUCCCCCGCUA
rnacentral:tRNA from 1 species